AUUGUACUCCCUCUGUCCCAAAAUUCUUGUCUUAAAUUUGUCUAAAUACGGAUGUAUCUAGUUACAUUUUAGUGUUAGAUACAUUUGUAUCUAAAUAAAUGUAAGACAAGAAUUUUGGGAUGGAGGAAAUACUAC
rfam:Triticum aestivum genome assembly, contig: Triticum_aestivum_CS42_TGACv1_scaffold_425288_5BS